UUCGUCGUUUGUAUGACAUUGUGCCAGAGAAGCACGGUUGAUUCCGCCAAUGUCACGUAGAGUGAAGAACACACGUAGGAGAUUGAUUGAUCAGUGCAGUUGAGAUAACAGUCUCAAUUUAAUUUUGAAAACAGG